AGUGAAUGAAUUCUUACGGUGGAUUCCUUAACAAUGUAUCAUAAACCCUGUUUCUUGGAAGGUGACAUGUUUGAAAAGGUCCAGCAGAAGUAAGAGCUGAUAGAAAACACACUCUUCAACAAUUUAUGUGCCAUAGCCACUUUUCUUACUGUCUUCUCCCUAAUGUCCCACUUGUCCUCUAUUUUGUGACCAUUGUCCUUUUCUGUCCUUCGCAGUGAGCAGUUCCAGAUGUCRACUUUCACUAGGAGCAGUGGAUGCUGCGGUGAAAGGGUACAGGGUUUUCUGAAGAAACAGGUGAUAUAGUCCUGAAGCAGACUGACCACUUUGAUGGCAAUAAAGACAAACUAAUACUUCUUCAGGGCCUUCUAAAACCAUCUCAGGCGCAGAACAAAUCAAAAUCUCAUAUUAAGAUUUUUUUUCAUUGUGGGGAAUCAUGUUGGUUAUUGCAGAUACUACUUAUGCAACAUUUAAAAAAAAUGGCACUGUACUUUACUCUGAGCAUCCYUAUCUUUAAAACAAGCAGGGAAUAAAAUCAUUAGAGCAACUAUCUCUGGUUCUUAAGUGAUUCAGAUAUAUUUUAUCUCCUUUAUGUACUAAUCAGUGGCUUGUUUUCUCAGCACUUCUCUCACUGGUCAGUAAUAGUUUUCUUAUCAUUACUCUAUCUGAUAAUCUGAUUUUCUUGGUUCCGAUUAGAAAUAAUUCCUUCUUUGUUCUUUUCUGCAUGACUGUGUAUUCCCAGAAAUUCUGAGAAAAUGAUUUUUUUUCCUUAUUAGUCAUACUGUUUCAACAAAUGUACUUACUUUCCUCGCUUAUAUGUAUAAGAACUAUUGUGUUUCUGUAGAUUGCGCAGUUGGGCUUAAUCAGCAGGAAGUCGGUGAGGUCAAAAUGAAAAUAUAUCUGUUAGGUUUAAGGAUUAAAGAUGAUAUGGAGAAAUAACAUUGCUUACAAAGAGCAGACUUCAGAGUCGCCAAUGUGGUACUUUUCAUGAACGUUAUAGUCACUUAAACACCGUUUAUACUGAAAAAAAUCCAAGUCACAAUUUAAAGCUGUCAUCUUAACAACAGCUUUGAUCCUAUAUUAAGCUUGAGUAACAGAGUUUUAACUAUUUAAGGAACAACAACAACAACAAAAAAAAACAGGAUAUGAAGAACAGCAGAGGAACACUAUUCAAUAAUUUUCAGAAAAUUCCAGGCUGACAGACUACAAGGAGAAAGCUCUUUAAUUUUCAUUACUGUGAAAUUUAUAUGAACUUGUGUAAUCUGGAUAAUCUCCAUUGAUAUGAGCUGAAUGCUAGAGAAUUGCAUCAAGUAAUAAAUUAUUAAUUAACUGACA
rnacentral:lncRNA from 1 species